rnacentral:rRNA from 1 species
UACGAAGGGUCCGAGCGUUGUCCGGAAUUAUUGGGCGUAAAGAGCUCGUAGGCGGCUUGUCACGUCGGAUGUGAAAGCCCGGGGCUUAACUCCGGGUCUGCAUUCGAUACGGGCUGGCUAGAGUGUGGUAGGGGAGAUCGGAAUUCCUGGUGUAGCGGUGAAAUGCGCAGAUAUCAGGAGGAACACCGGUGGCGAAGGCGGAUCUCUGGGCCAUUACUGACGCUGAGGAGCGAAAGCGUGGGGAGCGAACAGG